CCCACCGGAAGGAAGGCUACAAGGCAGCCGGGUGCCUAAGACGUGCUUGCCUAAGAAGCGUCGCGUUUGUUGGCGGCGUUAACCUUGUGCUGGAAAGUGCGAAUUCCUGAUUCCUACAUUUUAAAACAAGCAUUCCUGUGAUCCCGACGCAAGUCAGUUUUACUUGGAAGAUUAUGCUUCCAGGAGCUGGAGCUAUUUCUUACUUUCCUCAGUAGGCACCUCGUUCUCGGGACCUGUCACCACAGUUAAUAUCAACAUAUGGUGCCACGUACAGGGACUUGAGUACAAAAAUUCAGGAGAUAAAGUGUGCUUACCUGCUAGAAGAAUUAAACCUCGACAUGAGCCAUGAAAGAGUCAGAUAAGAUCUGAAUCCUCCCGUGGAAAAAAGGAGAGUGAUGCCACUACAGCACCAGCCUUGGAUAAUAAUCAGGAGCAUUCAGAAAGCAUAACCCCCCAAUUUAGGAACAACUUAAGAAAGUAACCCAUCGUCUGGAGAGCUGGCUGCGUUUCAGUGGAAAAUAUUUAUAGCUGGUAAUAUAUUUUUAGCCGUGUUGGCUGUCAUAGCCACUAUGAUAGGCAUUGACUUUAUAGAAUCAGGCAUAUAGGCCUGUAUUAAUUUGUGGUAUUGAAUUUAGAUAGCUUCUUGGUCUGCAUAAUACACGGGGACCAUUUAUAAUGACAGAUACUCAAAUUAUAAAUUUUUAAAAUUGUAAUAGAAUUACUACAGUAUGAUUUGGUAAAAGGUUUGUUUGAGUGCACUCUGAUUUUGUGUAAAUGUUUGUAUGUUCUGUGUACUUGUUACAUGUUUGUCUACCAUUUUGUGAACAGCUGUUCUUUUUGAGCUCAACAAAAUUUUUUCAUGAUACAAUUGGGGUGCAAAUCUAAAAGCAUGCUUUCUCUUAAAUUACCAGCUAGUCUAAAUGAAGAUAUUUAAAUAAAGAUAUUUAACUAUAAUCCUUGAGCAGAAACAUUGUUGGGUAGGACUCCAAUUGGUGAAUAAAGGGGUGGCCAACCUUUGUUCAUUAAUAAGGAGCCUCCAAUGAUC